UAAGUUUGUUAUUGGUAUGAGCGUUCGUGUGCAUGCAUAUUUCUUCAGAUACAUGCACACGAAAGCUCAUACCAAUAACAAACUUA